rnacentral:rRNA from 1 species
AAAGAACCCCGGCGAGGGGAGUGAAAAAGAACCUGAAACCGUGUACGUACAAGCAGUGGGAGCCUCUUUAUGGGGUGACUGCGUACCUUUUGUAUAAUGGGUCAGCGACUUAUAUUCUGUAGCAAGGUUAACCGAAUAGGGGAGCCGAAGGGAAACCGAGUCUUAACUGGGCGUUAAGUUGCAGGGUAUAGACCCGAAACCCGGUGAUCUAGCCAUGGGCAGGUUGAAGGUUGGGUAACACUAACUGGAGGACCGAACCGACUAAUGUUGAAAAAUUAGCGGAUGACUUGUGGCUGGGGGUGAAAGGCCAAUCAAACCGGGAGAUAGCUGGUUCUCCCCGAAAGCUAUUUAGGUAGCGCCUCGUGAAUUCAUCUCCGGGGGUAGAGCACUGUUUCGGCAAGGGGGUCAUCCCGACUUACCAACCCGAUGCAAACUGCGAAUACCGGAGAAUGUUAUCACGGGAGACACACGGCGGGUGCUAACGUCCGUCGUGAAGAGGGAAACAACCCAGACCGCCAGCUAAGGUCCCAAAGUCAUGGUUAAGUGGGAAACGAUGUGGGAAGGCCCAGACAGCCAG